GACGAACGCUGGCGGCGUGCCUAAUACAUGCAAGUUGAGCGAUGAAGAUUGGUGCUUGCACCAAUUUGAAGAGCAGCGCGCGGGUGAGUAACGCGUGGGGAAUCUGCCUUUGAGCGGGGGACAACAUUUGGAAACGAAUGCUAAUACCGCAUAACAACUUUAAACAUAAGUUUUAAGUUUGAAAGAUGCAAUUGCAUCACUCAAAGAUGAUCCCGCGUUGUAUUAGCUAGUUGGUGAGGUAAAGGCUCACCAAGGCGAUGAUACAUAGCCGACCUGAGAGGGUGAUCGGCCACAGUGGGACUGAGACACGGCCCAAACUCAUACGGGAGGCAGCAGUAGGGAAUCUUCGGCAAUGGACGAAAGUCUGAGCGAGAAACGCCGCGUGAGUGAAGAAGGGUUUCGGAUCGUAAAACUCUGUUGGUAGAGAAGAACGGUGGUGAGAGUGGAAAGCUCAUCAAGUGACGGUAACUAACCAGAAAGGGACGGCUAACUACGUG
rnacentral:rRNA from 1 species